AACACUCUUCGUGCCAACCAUUCGGAGUAGGCUUGCUUAAACGUUUUUUUGAGGACCACGGAGUUGAAGCAGGUUCUCCGCAAGUUAAUCAUCGGAUGCGGUAUUUUUCAAGCCACACACAGAAUGGCUAAUAUUGACGUCCGGAAAACACUCUUCGUGCCAACCAUUCGGAGUAGGCUUGCUUAAACGUUUUUUUGAGGACAACGGAGUUGAAGCAGGUUCUCCGCAAGUUAAUCAUCGGAUGCGGUAUUUUUCAAGCCACACACAGAAUGGCUAAUAUUGACGUCCGGAAAACACUCUUCGUGCCAACCAUUCGGAGUAGGCUUGCUUAAACGUUUUUUUGAGGACAACGGAGUUGAAGCAGGUUCUCCGCAAGUUAAUCAUCGGAUGCGGUAUUUUUCAAGCCACACACAGAAUGGCUAAUAUUGACGUCCGGAAAACACUCUUCGUGCCAACCAUUCGGAGUAGGCUUGCUUAAACGUUUUUUUGAGGACAACGGAGUUGAAGCAGGUUCUCCGCAAGUUAAUCAUCGGAUGCGGUAUUUUUCAAGCCACACACAGAAUGGCUAAUAUUGACGUCCGGAAAACACUCUUCGUGCCAACCAUUCGGAGUAGGCUUGCUUAAACGUUUUUUUGAGGACCACGGAGUUAAAGCAGGUUCUCCGCAAGUUAAUCAUCGGAUGCGGUAUUUUUCAAGCCAC